CUUUAACCCAAAGUGUAGGAAACAUUUCUAUAGACUAUACCACAACACCAGAGACUGUACCAUCCCUGCCUACUAUAAGAGGUGUGCCCGUCUUCUUACCAGACUGGCAGGCAGUCAGAGGUGUACAGAGAGGUAGAAUAACCUGAGCCCAUGAAAGAGAGAAGUGCCUUGGAAAAUGAACAGAGAGACUGCUAGUACUAUCUAUAUGUGUCAUGGGGAACGUUAGUUAUGUUAGGACGUUCAUAGAAGCUCACACAUACUCUACUCUAUUUUACUCAACUCUACAUUCAGACAAUCUCCGAGUUCAGCUGCCAAAAACCAUGACGACACGUGGAUGCUAUUUUACGACACUUGGAUUAUAUCAUGACACUAUGCGGGAG